rnacentral:rRNA from 1 species
AUGAACGCUAGCUACAGGCUUAACACAUGCAAGUCGAGGGGCAGCAUGGUCUUAGCUUGCUAAGGCUGAUGGCGACCGGCGCACGGGUGAGUAACACGUAUCCAACCUGCCGUCUACUCUUGGCCAGCCUUCUGAAAGGAAGAUUAAUCCAGGAUGGCAUCAUGAGUUCACAUGUCCGCAUGAUUAAAGGUAUUUUCCGGUAGACGAUGGGGAUGCGUUCCAUUAGAUAGUAGGCGGGGUAACGGCCCACCUAGUCAACGAUGGAUAGGGGUUCUGAGAGGAAGGUCCCCCACAUUGGAACUGAGACACGGUCCAAACUCCUACGGGAGGCAGCAGUGAGGAAUAUUGGUCAAUGGGCGAUGGCCUGAACCAGCCAAGUAGCGUGAAGGAUGACUGCCCUAUGGGUUGUAAACUUCUUUUAUAAAGGAAUAAAGUCGGGUAUGCAUACCCGUUUGCAUGUACUUUAUGAAUAAGGAUCGGCUAACUCCGUGCCAGCAGCCGCGGUAAUACGUAGGGGGCAAGCGUUAUCCGGAUUUACUGGGUGUAAAGGGAGCGUAGACGGUGUGGCAAGUCUGAUGUGAAAGGCAUGGGCUCAACCUGUGGACUGCAUUGGAAACUGUCAUACUUGAGUGCCGGAGGGGUAAGCGGAAUUCCUAGUGUAGCGGUGAAAUGCGUAGAUAUUAGGAGGAACACCAGUGGCGAAGGCGGCUUACUGGACGGUAACUGACGUUGAGGCUCGAAAGCGUGGGGAGCAAACAGGAUUAGAUACCCUGGUAGUCCACGCCGUAAACGAUGAGUGCUAGGUGUUAGGCCCUUUCCGGGGCUUAGUGCCGGAGCUAACGCAAUAAGCACUCCGCCUGGGGAGUACGACCGCAAGGUUGAAACUCAAAGGAAUUGACGGGGGCCCGCACAAGCGGAGGAACAUGUGGUUUAAUUCGAUGAUACGCUAGGAACCUUACCCGUGCUUAAAUUGCACUCGAAUGAUCCGGAAACGGUUCAGCUAGCAAUAGCGAGUGUGAAGGUGCUGCAUGGUUGUCGUCAGCUCGUGCCGUGAGGUGUCGGCUUAAGUGCCAUAACGAGCGCAACCCUUGUUGUCAGUUACUAACAGGUGAUGCUGAGGACUCUGACAAGACUGCCAUCGUAAGAUGUGAGGAAGGUGGGGAUGACGUCAAAUCAUCAUGCCCCUUAUGAUUUGGGCUACACACGUGCUACAAUGGUCGGUACAACGAGUUGCGAGCCGGUGACGGCAAGCUAAUCUCUGAAAGCCGAUCUCAGUUCGGAUUGGAGGCUGCAACUCGCCUCCAUGAAGUCGGAAUCGCUAGUAAUCGCGGAUCAGCACGCCGCGGUGAAUACGUUCCCGGGCCUUGUACACACCGCCCGUCAAGCCAUGGGAGCCGGGGGUACCUGAAGUGCGUAACCGCGAGGAUCGCCCUAGGGUAAAACUGGUGACUGGGGCU